AUUGAACGCUGGCGGCAGGCCUAACACAUGCAAGUCGAACGAAUGGCGGACGGGUGAAUAAUGUCUGGGAAACUGCCUGAUGGUGGGGGAUAACUACUGGAAACGGUAGCUAAUACCGCAUACCAUCCGAUGUUCCCAGAGGGGAGUAGCUAGUUGGUGGGGUAACGGCUCACCAAGGCGACGAUCCUUAGCUGGUCUGAGAGGAUGACCAGCCACACGGGAACUGAGACACGGUCCAGACUCCUACGGGAGGCAGCAGUGGGGAAUAUUGCACAAUGGGCGAAAGUCUGAUGGAGCCAUGCCGCGUGUAUGAAGAAGGUUUUCGGGUUGUAAAGUACUUUCAGUGGGGAGGCGGUACCUGCAGAAGAAGCAACGGCUAACUCCGUGCCAGCAGCCGCGGUAAUUC
rnacentral:rRNA from 1 species